rnacentral:rRNA from 1 species
UACAUGGGGUGCAAACGUUGCUCGGAAUUAUUGGGCGUAAAGCGCACGUAGGCGGUUUGUUAAGUCGGAUGUGAAAUCCCUCGGCUCAACUGAGGAAGUGCAUCCGAAACUGGCAGGCUUGAGUACUAAAGAGGGUCGCGGAAUUCCCGGUGUAGAGGUGAAAUUCGUAGAUAUCGGGAGGAACACCGGUGGCGAAGGCGGCGACCUGGGUAGAUACUGACGCUGAGGUGCGAAAGCGUGGGGGAGCAAACAGG